rnacentral:rRNA from 1 species
CUUGUUGGUGAGGUAAUGGCUCACCAAGGCAACGAUCCCUAGCUGGUCUGAGCGGAUGAUCAGCCACACUGGAACUGAGACACGGUCCAGACUCCUACGGGAGGCAGCAGAGGGGAAUAUUGCACAAUGGGGGAAACCCUGAUGCAGCCAUGCCGCGUGUAUGAAGAAGGCCUUCGGGUUGUAAAGUACUUUCAGUAGGGAGGAAGGCAGUGUCGUUAAUAGCGGCAUUCUUUGACGUUACCUACAGAAGAAGCACCGGCUAACUCCGUGCCAGCAGCCGCGGUAAUACGGAGGUUGCGAGCGUUAAUCGGAAUUACUGGGCGUAAAGCGCAUGCAGGCGGUCUGUUAAGCAAGAUGUGAAAGCCCGGGGCUCAACCUCGGAACAGCAUUUUGAACCGGCAGACUAGAGUCUUGUAGAGGGGGGUAGAAUUUCAGGUGUAGCGGUGAAAUGCGUAGAGAUCUGAAGGAAUACCGGUGGCGAAGGCGGCCCCCUGGACAAAGACUGACGCUCAGAUGCGAAAGCGUGGGGAGCAAACAGGAUUAGAUACCCUGGUAGUCCACGCCGUAAUCGAUGUCUACUUGGAGGUUGUGGCCUUGAGCCGUGGCUUUCGGAGCUAACGCGUUAAGUAGACCGCCUGGGGAGUACGGUCGCAAGAUUAAUACUCAAAUGAAUUGACGGGGGCCCGCACAAGCGGUGGAGCAUGUGGUUUAAUUCGAUGCAACGCGAAGAACCUUACCUACUCUUGACAUCCAGAGAACUUAGCAGAAAUGCUUUGGUGCCUUCGGGAACUCUGAGACAGGUGCUGCAUGGCUGUCGU